UACGUAGGGUGCGAGCGUUGUCCGGAAUUAUUGGGCGUAAAGAGCUCGUAGGCGGUGUGUCACGUCGGCCGUGAAAACCUGGGGCUUAACUCUGGGCGUGCGGUCGAUACGGGCAUCACUAGAGUUCGGCAGGGGAGACUGGAAUUCCUGGUGUAGCGGUGAAAUGCGCAGAUAUCAGGAGGAACACCGGUGGCGAAGGCGGGUCUCUGGACCAUUGACUGACGCUGAGGCACGAAAGCUAGGGGAGCAAACAGGA
rnacentral:rRNA from 1 species